ACACCCCUAGAAGUAUCAUGGGGGGGGUGGUUGGCUACUGUGUCACAUGUGCAUCUGUAGGUGGCUGAGCGGAGAGAGGCUAUGUCUGUGCUCAGUGUUCUGACCUGUGAUCAUCUGAGUGAUUAGUAGACUACCAUU